rnacentral:rRNA from 1 species
AACGCUAGCUACAGGCUUAACACAUGCAAGUCGAGGGGAAACGAUAGAGAAAGCUUGCUUUUUCUAGGCGUCGACCGGCGCACGGGUGAGUAACGCGUAUCCAACCUGCCCAUCACUUGGGGAUAACCUUGCGAAAGUAAGACUAAUACCCAAUGACGUCCAUAGAAGACAUCUGAAAGAGAUUAAAGAUUUAUCGGUGAUGGAUGGGGAUGCGUCUGAUUAGCUUGUUGGCGGGGUAACGGCCCACCAAGGCAACGAUCAGUAGGGGUUCUGAGAGGAAGGUCCCCCACAUUGGAACUGAGACACGGUCCAAACUCCUACGGGAGGCAGCAGUGAGGAAUAUUGGUCAAUGGACGAGAGUCUGAACCAGCCAAGUAGCGUGCAGGAAGACGGCCCUAUGGGUUGUAAACUGCUUUUAUAAGGGAAUAAAGUGAGUCUCGUGAGACUUUUUGCAUGUACCUUAUGAAUAAGGACCGGCUAAUUCCGUGCCAGCAGCCGCGGUAAUACGGAAGGUCCGGGCGUUAUCCGGAUUUAUUGGGUUUAAAGGGAGCGUAGGCCGGAGAUUAAGCGUGUUGUGAAAUGUAGACGCUCAACGUCUGCACUGCAGCGCGAACUGGUUUCCUUGAGUACGCACAAAGUGGGCGGAAUUCGUGGUGUAGCGGUGAAAUGCUUAGAUAUCACGAAGAACUCCGAUUG